rnacentral:rRNA from 1 species
CAUACUCAGGCGGUCGGGUGAACUGUGGUUAAGGAACUCGGCAAAUUAACCCCGUAACUUCGGGAGAAGGGGUGCUGACAGCGAUGUCAGCCGCAGUGAAUAGGCCCAGGCGACUGUUUAUCAAAAACACAGGUCUCUGCAAAAUCGAAAGAUGACGUAUAGGGGCUGACGCCUGCCCGGUGCUGGAAGGUUAAGAGGAACUGUGAGGACGUAAGUCCGAAGCGGAGAAU